AUUGAACGCUGGCGGCAGGCUUAACACAUGCAAGUCGAGCGGAAACGAAGAUAGCUUGCUAUCAGGCGUCGAGCGGCGGACGGGUGAGUAACGCGUAGGAAUCUACCUAGUAGUGGGGGACAACCUGGUGAAAACCAGGCUAAUACCGCAUACGCCCUAUGGGGGAAAGCGUGGGACCUUCGGGCCACGUGCUAUUAGAUGAGCCUGCGUGAGAUUAGCUAGUUGGUAGGGUAAGAGCCUACCAAGGCGACGAUCUCUAGCUGGUUUGAGAGGAUGAUCAGCCACACUGGGACUGAGACACGGCCCAG
rnacentral:rRNA from 1 species